AAAAAAUUAGUUAAAUUUAAAUAACAUUAAUUUGUCAAAUUAAAAUUACUAAAAAUAUUUUUUA
rnacentral:tRNA from 1 species